CGCCUUCCUCUGUAAGAAACCUUGACAUAAUUCUUCAAACAGAUCUUUAAAAGAUUCAGUAGAAAAUAAUAACAUCCAGCUGGCGCGCGCAGAACAGAGUCAGGUGUUGUUCCAAAGUGUCACAACAUUUGUCACAACACUUGGGGUCAGCACACUUGUCUCAACACUUGGCUAAAAUAUGUUUUUGCAAAAUGUAGCCAAUAUACAAAAACCCAACAAUCUCCCCCUUUGGCAAAUUUUGGCUAAAAC
rnacentral:lncRNA from 1 species